CCGAAAGCAUUUGCCAAGAAUGCUUCCCUUAGAGAUUAAGCCGAAAGCCUUUGACUAGAACGCAAGCCUUUGCCAAGAAUGCUUGUCUCUAAGAUUAAGCCGUAAGCCUUUGCCAAGAAUGCCAGUCUUUUGGAUUAAGCCGUACGUCUUUGACAAAGCCGUUAGCUUUUGAGAAUAAUGCGGUGGGCGGGCGGACUUCGUACUGGCGACAAAUCUUUGAAACGACUUGCCUAUCAACUGUCGAUGGCAGGCUACGUGCCUACCAUGGUGACAACGGUUAACGGGGAAUCAGGGUUCGAUUCCGGAGAGAGAGCCUGAGAGACGGCUACCACAUCCAAGGAAGGCAGCAGGCACGCAAAUUACCCACUCCCAGAAUGGGGAGGUAGUGACGAUAAAUAACGGAACGUAUCUCGACGAGACGCGUUACCGGAACGACUGAGCCGUAUACAAGCUCGGCGAAAGCUAUUGGAGGGCAAGUCUGGUGCCAGCAGCCGCGGUAAUUCCAGCUCCAAUAGCGUAUAUUAAACUUGCUGCGGUUGAACCGCUCGUAGUUGGAUUGUGAACCGUGACCACGGUCCUCUAAGUGAAGAGGAAUGGCUUUGCCGCCGUUGGUCGUGAUCAAUGAUGUCAUAGUUGUCCGGAUGCUCUUCAUCGGGUGUCUUCCAAGGCUGGAAGCAUUUGCCAGGAAUGCUAGUCUCUUCGAAAAAUGCGAGCGCAUUUGCCAAGAAUG
rnacentral:rRNA from 1 species